AAGAAAAAAACUUGGACUUGCUCAAUACUGCAUUGAAACCCAACCCAAAAGAGCUGGAGAAGAUUGAAGACAUAGUUUGUUUAAAUUAACAUGCUGAAAAUGAAUAUAAACACAUUAUCCUCUUUAUGCUUCAGUACACAACGAGAUUGUUGAUUCUUUCAACGAGGUUGAAGGAAAACAAAAAAAGUAAGAGAUUGAUCCCUCGAUAACAAAACCAAGAAAAUAGAGAUAGUGAAUGAUGGAAAAUCCCUCAAUUUGGUAGAUGGAUUGAAUGUCAUGUAGUAUGCAAUGCAGCCAAAAUCCAUAAAGACAAAGAUAGGUAGUAGAUGAGAUAGCUUGAUAGAAGAAUCCACCUCAAUGGUCCUAUUCCAAAACCAAAAAAAGAACAAAACCUCAGUUAAGAUUAAUCAAGUGUAAGUAUAAGGUCUAAGUGGAGUGUGGAGACUAACCUGUACAAGCUACAAAAGAAAGCAAGAAUAGAAAAGCCACAGGAAGAACAGCUAUUGUAAUAGAUUUUCUUACUUUGGUACCACUUUUCAUUUCCAAAAAAGUAUUGAGACACAAGGAACUUGAAUGUUGUAUAAGUGGAUAACUGUAGUGUGAGUAACUCACAGUGAGUUUGGUAGAUGCCUAAUGGUGAACAAGGUUUUUCAUUGCAUUUAUGUACACAUGUAAAGAGAG
rnacentral:lncRNA from 1 species